AUUGAACGCUGGCGGCAUGCUUUACACAUGCAAGUCGAACGGUAACAGGCCUUCUGGUGCUGACGAGUGGCGAACGGGUGAGUAAUGCAUCGGAACGUACCCAGAGGUUGGGGAUAACGCAGCGAAAGCUGUGCUAAUACCGCAUGUGAUCUGAGGAUGAAAGCGGGGGACCGAGCAGCAAUGUUUGGCCUCGUGCCUUUGGAGCGGCCGAUGUCGGAUUAGCUAGUUGGUUGGGUAAAGGCCUACCAAGGCGACGAUCCGUAGCUGGUCUGAGAGGACGACCAGCCACACUGGGACUGAGACACGGCCCAGACUCCUACGGGAGGCAACAGUGGGGAAUUUUAGACAAUGGGCGGAAGCCUGAUCCAGCAAUGCCGCGUGCGGGAAGAAGGCCUUCGGGUUGUAAAGCGCUUUUGGCAGGAACGAAACGGUGUCCGCUAAUACCGGGCGCUAAUGACGGUACCUGGAGAAUAAGCACCGGCUAACUACGUG
rnacentral:rRNA from 1 species